UUGGAGGGCAAGUCUGGUGCCAGCAGCCGCGGUAAUUCCAGCUCCAAUAGCGUAUAUUAAAGUUGUUGCGGUUAAAAAGCUCGUAGUUGAAUUUCGGGAUCAGAUUGUUGGUCGUGCCUCGGUACGUACUGGCAUUAUUGGUUCCUACCUUCUGAAGAACCGCGAUGUCAUUAAUUUGGUGUCGUGGGGAAUCAGGACUGUUACUUUGAAAAAAUUAGAGUGUUUAAAGCAGGCGCACGCUUGAAUACAUUAGCAUGGAAUAAUGAAAUAGGACGUUUGAUUCUAUUUUGUUGGUUUCUAGGAUCGACGUAAUGAUUAAUAGGGAUAGUUGGGGGCAUUAGUAUUCAAUUGUCAGAGGUGAAAUUCUUGGAUUUAUUGAAGACUAACUACUGCGAAAGCAUUUGCCAAGGAUGUUUUCAUUAAUCAAGAACGAAAGUUAGGGGAUCGAAGACGAUCAGAUACCGUCGUAGUCUUAACCAUAAACUAUGCCGACUAGGAAUCAGACGAUGUUAAUUUUUUAAUGACUCGUUUGGCACCUUACGGGAAACCAAAGUGUUUGGGUUC
rnacentral:rRNA from 1 species